CCUACGGGUGGCAGCAGUGAGGAAUAUUGGUCAAUGGGCGUAAGCCUGAACCAGCCAUGUCGCGUGAGGGAUGAAGGUUCUAUGGAUUGUAAACCUCUUUUAUAAGGGAGUAAAGCGUGGGACGUGUCCUGUUUUGAAUGUAUCUUAUGAAUAAGGAUCGGCUAACUCCGUGCCAGCAGCCGCGGUAAUACGGAGGAUUCGAGCGUUAUCCGGAUUUAUUGGGUUUAAAGGGUGCGUAGGCGGCCUUUUAAGUCAGCGGUGAAAGUCUGUGGCUCAACUACAGAAUUGCCUGUGAAACUGGGAGGCUUGAGUAUGGUUGAGGCAGGCGGAAUGCGUGGUGUAGCGGUGAAAUGCUUAGAUAUCACGCAGAACCCCGAUUGCGAAGGCAGCCUACCAAGCCAUGACUGACGCUGAUGCACGAAAGCGUGGGGAUCAAACAGGAUUAGAUACCCUUGUAGUC
rnacentral:rRNA from 1 species